GACAGAGGGUGCAAGCGUUGUCCGGAUUUAUUGGGCGUAAACCGUUCGUAGGCGGUUCUUUAAGUCCAAAGUUAAAAUGUUGAGCUCAACUCAGCUUCGCUUUGGAUACUGAAGAACUAGAGUGUGUCAGGGGUUACUGGAAUUCCCGGUGUAGUGGUGAAAUACGUAGAUAUCGGGAGGAACUCCAGAGGCGAAAGCGAGUAACUGGGGCAUAACUGACGCUGAGGGACGAAAGCGUGGGUAGCAAAAAGG
rnacentral:rRNA from 1 species